UUAGACUGCAGUCGAACGCAGUCUUCGGACCGAGUGGCGCACGGGUGAGUAACACGUAACUGACCUACCCAGAAGUCAUGAAUAACUGGCCGAAAGGUCAGCUAAUACGUGAUGUGGUGAUUUGCCGUGGCAAAUCACUAAAGAUUUAUCGCUUCUGGAUGGGGUUGCGUUCCAUCAGCUGGUUGGUGGGGUAAAGGCCUACCAAGGCGACGACGGAUAGCCGGCCUGAGAGGGUGGCCGGCCACAGGGGCACUGAGACACGGGUCCCACUCCUACGGGAGGCAGCAGUUAGGAAUCUUCCACAAUGGGCGCAAGCCUGAUGGAGCGACGCCGCGUGAGGGAUGAAGGUUUUCGGAUCGUAAACCUCUGAAUCUGGGACGAAAGAGCCUUUAUGGCANAUGACGGUACCAAAGUAAUAGCACCGGCUAACUCCGUGCCAGCAGCCGCGGUAAUACGGAGGGNGCAAGCGUUACCCGGAUCACUGGGCGUAAAGGGCGUGUAGGCGGAUAUUUAAGUCUGGUUUUAAAGACCGAGGCUCAACCUCGGGAGNGACUGGAAUACUGGAAUGUCUGACCUCUGAGAGGUAACUGGAAUUCUGGUGUAGCGGUGGA
rnacentral:rRNA from 1 species